AUGGUAACACAUCCAUCAGCUCGGAAAGAAUCAAGUCAAAUUAAGCAUAACUGUGAAUUGUGUAGCCACGGUGAAAACAAUGAUAUUUCUGUAUACGAUGUGACAGUUCAGUCAGAAACUGGAAACAGUUAUGCAUUUUGUAAAUGGCGUGGUAAAAGAGCUGAGGUACUUAAUACAGAGAAGAAAAUGAGCGUCUGUGGAGGGGACCUGGCGGCUGGUAAAAAUCAAAGUGACCCCAAGAAAAUGGUUCCUCCCCAAAGGAGGUAGAAGAAGACAGUGAAGAUGAGGAAAUGUCAGAAGAUGAAGAUGAUGAUAGCAGUGGAGAAGAGGUUAUCAUUCCUCAGAAAAAAGGCAAGAAGGCUACCACAACUCCAGCAAAGAAGGUGAUCGUUUCCCCAACAAAAAACGUCACAGUUUCCACUCCGGCCAAGAAAGCAUUGUUGUCAUCCCUGGCAAAAAGACAGUGGCUACACCAGCCAAAAAGACAGUUGUGCCAGCCAAAGCAGUAGCAACACCUGGCAAGAAGGGGGUCACACCAGGCAAGGCAUUGGUAGCCACCCCUGGUAAGAAAGGAGCAGCCACCCUAGCCAAGGGAGCAAAGAAUGGUAAGAAUGCCAAGAAGGAAGACAGUGACGAGGAAGAUGAUGAUGACGUGAAGAGGAGGACUAGGAGGAUGAGGAUGAAGAUAAGGAUGAAUUCGAGCCAGCAGUGAUGAAAGCAGCUGCUGCUGCUGCCCUGAUGAUGAGGAUGAUGAUGAAGAGGAGGAGGAUGAAGACGAUGAGGAGGAUGAUGAAGAUGAGGAUGAAGAUGACUCUGAAGAAGAAUCUAUGGAGACUACACCAGCCAAAGGGAAGAACGCCCUUGCAAAACUCUUCCUGUGAAGGCCAAGAGCACAGCUGAGGACGAAGAUGAAGAGGAUGAUGAUGAGGAUAAAGAUGAUGAUGAGGAGGAUGAGGAAGAUGAGGAUGAUGAUGAGGAGGAAGAUGAGGAGGAGGAGGAGGAAGAAGAGGAAGAGCCUGUUAAAGAAGCACCUGGAAAACGAAAGAAGGAAAUGGCCAAACAGAAAGCAGCUCCAGAAGCCAAGAAGCAGAAAGUAGAAGCUACAGAACCAACUACAUCAUUCAAUCUUUUUGUUGGAAACCUGAACUUCAGCAAAUCUGCUCGUGAAUUAAAAACGGGCAUCAGUGACCUUUUUGCUAAAAAUGAUCUUGUCGUUGUGGGUGUCAGAAUUGGUGUGUCUAGGAAGUUUGGCUAUGUGGAUUUUGAAUCUGCUGAAGACCUGGAAAAAGCCUUGGAACUCACUGGUUUACAAGUCUCUGGCAACGAAAUUAAACUAGAAAAACCAAAGGGAAAAGACAGUAAGAAAGAUCGAGAAACAAGAACACUUUUGGCUAAAAAUCUGCCUUACAAAGUUACUCAGGAUGAAUUAAAAGAAGUAUUUGAAGAUGCUGCGAAGAUCAGAUUAGUCAGCAAGGAUGGAAAGAGUAAAGGGAUUGCUUAUAUUGAAUUUAAGACCGAAGCUGAUGCAGAAAAAGCCUUGGAAGAAAAGCAGGGCACAGAGAUUGAUGGGCGGGCUAUCUCCCUGUUCUACACUGGAGAGAAGGGUCAAAGUCAUGACUCUAGAGGUGGCAAGAAUAGCAGUUGGAGUGGUGAAUCAAAAACACUGGUUUUAAGCAGCCUCUCUUACAAUGCAACAGAAGAAACCCUUCAGGAAGUAUUUGAGAAGGCAACUUUUAUUAAAGUGCCCCAGAACCAAAAUGGCAAAUCUAAAGGGUAUGCAUUUAUAGAAUUUGCUUCAUUUGAAGAUGCUAAAGAAGCUUUAAAUUCCUGUAAUAAAAGGGAAAUUGAGGGCAGAGCAAUCAGACUGGAGUUGCAAGGACCCAGUGGAUCAUCUAAUGCCAGAAGCCAGCCGUCCAAAACUUUGUUUGUCAAAGGUCUGUCUGAGGAUACCACAGAAGAGACAUUAAAGGAGUCGUUUGAUGACUCUGUUCGGGCAAGGACAGUCACUGACUGGGAGACUGGGUCUUCUAAAGGGUUUGGUUUUGUAGACUUCAACAGUGAGGAAGAUGCCAAAGCUUCCAAGGAGGCCAUGGAAGAUGGUGAAAUUGAAGGAAACAGUUACUUUGGACUGGGCCAAGCCUAAGGGUGAAGGUGGUUUUGGAGGUCGUGGUGGAGGCCAUGGUGGCUUUGGAGGCCAAGGUGGUGGCAGAGGAGGCCGAGAUGGAUUUGGUGGCAGAGGCUGGGGAGGCUUUGGAGGGUGAGGAGGCUUCCGAGGAGGCAGAGGAGGAGGGGGAGACCCAAGCCACAAGGAAAGAAGACGAAGUUUGAAUAGUUUCUUCCAUCCCUC